UGUGGAGGGGUACAUAAAACGAAAAUACAAUUUUAAGGAAAUGGUUCGAAGGUAUCUAACGGUUGCAUGUGAGGAAAAAGGGACCUGGCUCCUUCCCUUGCCCUUUGUCUCAUAGCAACUCCAACUUGCUAUCCAACUCCCUAAGCUAAAAUUUAGCAACUCAACAUGAAAAUCCUGCUCUAAAGGAAUUACCAUCCUCCUUGCUAUCCUA
rnacentral:lncRNA from 1 species